rnacentral:rRNA from 1 species
UACGUAGGGCGCAAGCGUUGUCCGGAAUUAUUGGGCGUAAAGAGCUCGUAGGUGGUUUGUUACGUCUGCUGUGAAAACCUAGGGCUUAACCCUGGGCCUGCAGUGGAUACGGGCAGACUAGAGGUAGGUAGGGGAGAAUGGAAUUCCCGGUGUAGCGGUGAAAUGCGCAGAUAUCGGGAGGAACACCGGUGGCGAAGGCGGUUCUCUGGGCCUUACCUGACACUGAAGAGCGAAAGCGUGGGGAGCGAACAGG